GGACCGGAGGGACCGGGGGCAGGGAACCGACUGGAGUUACCGGGAGCCGGGAAGGGCCGCAGCUGAGCGGCCUCCUCCCGGCAGGCUUGGCGGGAGAAGCACCGUGCCUUGCUGCGAGGUUUUCCUAAUUGGCCCAGCUUACAGGAUCAUUAAAUUCCUGGUGUAUAACAGUCUAAGAAAAGUCUAGAGAAGUCCAAGGAUCAAACAUUGUGGAAAUGACAGUAGUGAUGGAUAUGGGCUUCCCAAACUGAUCCAUCUACUUGAGAGUUCCCCUGCGAAGUAGGAAAUAGAGAUGUGAUGAGCUUUCUCCAAGAGCUUUCUCUCAGCAAAC
rnacentral:lncRNA from 1 species